AGGUGCGGUCAUACCAGCACUAAUGCACCGGAUCCCAUCAGAACUCCACAGUUAAGAGUACUUGGGUGAGAGUAGUACUCGGAUGGGUGACCUCUUGGGAAGUCCUCAUGUUUCUCCUC